UGUUCUUCUGUCCUUUCAACACCCAAUAUAUCACCAAGCUUUCUGCAAGUUCCCAAAACCUCUGCCGUGAUUUGUUCAUACUUUAUUGUAUCUGAAACACAUAAAAAGGACCACUAUGCAAGGGUAGAAAAUAAUAGCAAAACAUGAUUUAAGCAUUUCUCCAAUAAUACAUACUACACAAACCUCUAAAUUCAUGUUCCAAGAUAAUAUAUAAAAUUCAUGAACAAUGUGCAGGGUCCGAAUGGAGGUAUUACUGGUUUAAUAUACUGAUGGUCUGUAAAAUCAAGUGGAU
rnacentral:lncRNA from 1 species